GAUGAACUCUGGCGGCGUGCCUAAUACAUGCAAGUCGAGCGAACAGACGAGGAGCUUGCUCCUCUGACGUUAGCGGCGGACGGGUGAGUAACACGUGGAUAACCUACCUAUAAGACUGGGAUAACUUCGGGAAACCGGAGCUAAUACCGUAUAAUAUAUUGAACCGCAUGGUUCAAUAGUGAAAGACGGUUUUGCUGUCACUUAUAGAUGGAUCCGCGCCGCAUUAGCUAGUUGGUAAGGUAACGGCUUACCAAGGCAACGAUGCGUAGCCGACCUGAGAGGGUGAUCGGCCACACUGGAACUGAGACACGGUCCAGACUCCUACGGGAGGCAGCAGUAGGGAAUCUUCCGCAAUGGGCGAAAGCCUGACGGAGCAACGCCGCGUGAGUGAUGAAGGUCUUCGGAUCGUAAAACUCUGUUAUUAGGGAAGAACAAAUGUGUAAGUAACUAUGCACGUCUUGACGGUACCUAAUCAGAAAGCCACGGCUAACUACGUG
rnacentral:rRNA from 1 species